GCCCCAUGCGACGCUGCAACAGACGCGGCGGGGGUGGGGAAAUCAAUACACGCAGACGACUGCAACAAUAUAAUAUAGCUAUGUAUAUUAGGAAACAUUUCCACAUUAACGAAGGGUGUCUCGAUCUAUCGCGCCGGGUUGAAAUAUUUUAUUAUGAAAUGAUUCAUCCGCCAGUGAAACGAAGCUGGCUUCAGAACUUACAACUUUCAAAUAUUUUAAGUUAUCAGACUACUCGUCUCAGUUAAGUGGAAUAUAUUAUUUUUAAAUAUAUCGUCACACAAAAAGCGUUAGAUAUUUAAUCAGUGUCUACGAUUUUAGUAAUUAGUAUCGGGCUUGCCACCACGUGUCAACACGAUGCGUCACAGCAUAAUCGUGGAUCUGGUUUACCAAAUCCAACCUACGCAUCUAUACAAUAUUUAAUAACAAACUUUGUUUUUGCGUCGUCUACUAGCAACCCAUGAAUGAGUCUCAAUAAGCUAUUUAAGUCUGCCAAGAGCAGACAACCCAGUUGCCUUUGAAUUAAUUGAAAGAUAGCAGUACCGUGCACUCACUGUAACAUCCUACCAACUAGAAUGAGAUGAGAUAUCUACCAUCUUAUCCGUCAGUUAAUGUUAGGCGUUUGCGGCAAUUAGCGCAAAACAGCUGAAUCAUAGAGAAAGUCCGAGCUGAAGAGAAAUUUCAGCAUUUUAAAGAAGUAUAAUUGUGACCCCGAGCGAGUGUGUUGUGCGCGGCUACGGCGGUACGUGAGUGUUUUCGUGUACCGUUAGCUUUAGAUAAAGUGUAGUGCCAUUACAAUCGUUAUCAAGGCAUAUCGUUAUCACCAGAUUGUGGAUAGAGCCGAGUGCGUUACCAUAUAUGGUGACAAAAAUUGAGGCAGCAUCAGGCAGCUUGUGAUUGGCGGAAAAUAAAUAGUUGCCGAUAGUGUGUGAACUCUGAUAAGGCGCGUUUUAUAUAGUUUAUCCUCAAGAGCCGGUUCUCAUUUAGUAAGGUGUGCUUGACCGAAGCAGCACGAGUCGUACCUAGUCAUUAACUUAAUUUAACA